rnacentral:rRNA from 1 species
AUUGAACGCUGGCGGCAGGCCUAACACAUGCAAGUCGCGCGGAUGACGGGAGCUUGCUCCAUGAUUCAGCGGCGGACGGGCGCGUAAUGCCUAGGAAUCUGCCUGGUAGAGGGGGACAACGUUUCGAUAGGAACGCUAAUACUGCAUACGUCCUACGAGAGAAAGUGGGGGAUCCUCGGACCUCACGAUAUCAGAUGAGCCUAGGUCGGAUUAGCUAGUUGGAGAGGUAAAGGCUCACCAAGGCGACGAGCCGUAACUGGUCGGAGUGGAUGAUCAGUCACACUGGAACUGAGACACGGUCCAGACUCCUACGGUAGGCAGCAGUGGGGAAUAUUGGACAAUGGGCGAAAGCCUGGUCCAGCCAUGCAGCGUGUGUGAAGAAGGUCUUCGGAGUGUAAAGCACUUUUAGUUGGGAGGAAGGGCAGUUAGUUAAUACCUUGCUGUUUUGACGUUACCAACAGAAUAAGCACCGUCUAACUUCGUGCCAGCCGCCGCAGUAACAC